AUUUGUUAGGGGAAUGAUAUUGUGGUCAUUUCAUGGCAAACAAUCUGUAAAUGUGUACAUGGUCGAAAGAAAAGAUCUAUAUGCGAAUGGUUUUCUGACCAAUUAGUAAUGAAGAUUAGUUUUCCAUGAUUUUCAUGAACCCAGCUUAGGAAAUCUUCUCUUUUUCAAUGCAAGUCUAUAUAUCUAUCUCAAAUUUCUUUUUGAAUCCAAUUUAUCUCUUAGAUUUAUACGGGCGCCCUGUAUCAGUUCCUCUGUCCUUGAGUCAAAACCUGCACAUUUACAUUUCAGCCUUGGAUCUCCCUUUCAAAGUUCCAUAAUUGGUAAUCUAUCAGUUUUCCAAUGGUUCUUCAUUAUUGUAUCUUUUUGUGAAAUCUAAUCAUGCAGAAGAUAUGGAGUUAGAACUUGCUUGAUUUUGAUGAUUAAGUUAUGUCUGCCUUGUUGGAUGAAAACUUAGCCAUGUGUUAAAUUGAUUGCAGUUGGGUAGGUUGUUCACUGAAUUCUCUGUGUUUGGUUUGAACCACCAACACUCUCUCACAUAACCAUGAGUUCAUUAAUCUCUCGAGUUGUGACAUCUUAAAAUAGGUGUUAGAAAAUUGUGUAGCUCAAAUAUUCUCAUCCCGCAUGCAGACCAUAAGCCAAUUGCAAGCACUGAAUUCCUAAGACUAGGGAUCGAUUCCCUCACUGAUUAUGACAUCAAUUCAUUGGGUCAGAGGUCCACAUUGUUUCUUUCUUUUUGUUCCUUUUCCUUUCAAAAUCAUUUUAGUCUUUUUAUGUGUUUUUAAAUUCAAAUAGAUAAGCAAUACUUUUCUUAUUCUCCCUAAUUCAUGGUUCUUGUACUUAACUGGUGCAUCUCUCCUGCUGUAACUUGUGCACCUUGACAUCUAUGCCACCGUUUACUAGCUAAAUCAGGUUUUUUUCCUAACAAACUUCUCAUUCUGGACUUAAAUCGAAUAUUUUAAUGUGCAAAUAAACUUGCUGGAUUGAC